AAGCCAUGCAUGUGUAAGUUUAACCUGCCAGACAGGGAAACUGCGUACGGCUCAUUACACCAGCUAUAAUUUACUUGACCUUGACUUCUUACUUGGAUAACUGUGGUAAUUCUAGAGCUAAUACAUGCACCAAAGCUCCAAUCUCCCCAGAGCGGAGCGCAUUUGUUCGCCACAAAACCAAGCGCCCUCCGGGCGUCCAGUGUUGACUCAGAACAACUAAGCUGAUCGCACGGUCUUGCACCGGCGACGUGUCUUUCAAGUGUCUGCCUUAUCAACUUUCGAUGGUAGUGUACCUGACUACCAUGGUGAUGACGGGUAACGGAGGAUAAGGGUUCGACUCCGGAGAAGGGGCCUGAGAAAUGGCCACUACGUCUAAGGAUGGCAGCAGGCGCGCAAAUUACCCACUCUCAACAUGAGGAGGUAGUGACGAGAAAUAACGAGACCGAUCUCUUAUGAGGCCGGUCAUCGGAAUGGGUACAAUUUAAACCCUUUAACGAGUAUCUAUGAGAGGGCAAGUCUGGUGCCAGCAGCCGCGGUAAUUCCAGCUCUCAAAAUGCAUAGAAUUAUUGCUGCGGUUAAAAAGCUCGUAGUUGGAUCUGUGCUAGCCGUCCGGUGCACACUCUGUGUGUUACUGGUUCGGUUUGCUUUUCUGCUGGUCUCUCCCCGGCGUUGGCCUUCAUCGGUCGGCGUCGGUGGGCUAGCGAGUUUACUUUGAACAAAUCAGAGUGCUUCAAACAGGCGUUUCGCUUGAAUGUUCGUGCAUGGAAUAAUAGAAGAGGAUUUCGGUCCGAUUUUAUUGGUUUUGCUGACCGAGAUAAUGGUUAACAGAGACAAACGGGGCCAUU
rnacentral:rRNA from 1 species